rnacentral:rRNA from 1 species
CGGAACACGUACGCAACUUUCCUUUAACUGGAGAAUAGCCCCUCGAAAGAGGGAUUAAUACUCCGUAACAUGUACAUGUGGCAUCACAAGUACAUUAUAGCUCCGGCGGUUAAAGAUGGGCGUGCGCCUGAUUAGAUAGUUGGCGGGGUAACGGCCCACCAAGUCUGCGAUCAGUAACUGGUGUGAGAGCACGACCAGUCACACGGGCACUGAGACACGGGCCCG